rnacentral:rRNA from 1 species
AUGAUGGUAGGUCGGGGUCAGACCUACUAUUAUCAUGUCGAACAAAUAGGGGCUGGGGCUGAUUAUCAUUGGGAGUUAGUCGCGAGGAAUCUUUUGGAGCCCGAUGAUUCAAAUGAGAACAUAUGGGAGUACACCUUGCAUGAUGUCGUCCGCUCAUUUGCUCAAUUUAUGGCUAAGGAAGAAGCAUUGGUGGUUCACAAGGAUGAAGGUGACAAGAAAUCUUCUUUCGGAAAACCAAAAAUUUCACCAUCUCUGUAUAUUUCAUCCCAAACUAGAGUUGAGCAUCCUAGAGAAGCAAGAAACAUUGAGGACAUUAUUAUUGAUAGACUAUGA